rnacentral:rRNA from 1 species
GGGUUGUGAGGUUAAGCGACUAAGCGUACACGGUGGAUGCCCUGGCAGUCAGAGGCGAUGAAGGACGUGCUAAUCUGCGAUAAGCGUCGGUAAGGUGAUAUGAACCGUUAUAACCGGCGAUUUCCGAAUGGGGAAACCCAGUGUGAUUCGUCACACUAUCAUUAACUGAAUCCAUAGGUUAAUGAGGCGAACCGGGGGAACUGAAACAUCUAAGUACCCCGAGGAAAAGAAAUCAACCGAGAUUCCCCCAGUAGCGGCGAGCGAACGGGGAGCAGCCCAGAGCCUGAAUCAGUGUGUGUGUUAGUGGAAGCGUCUGGAAAGGCGUGCGAUACAGGGUGACAGCCCCGUACACAAAAAUGCACAUGCUGUGAGCUCGAUGAGUAGGGCGGGACACGUGGUAUCCUGUCUGAAUAUGGGGGGACCAUCCUCCAAGGCUAAAUACUCCUGACUGACCGAUAGUGAACCAGUACCGUGAGGGAAAGGCGAAAAGAACCCCGGCGAGGGGAGUGAAAAAGAACCUGAAACCGUGUACGUACAAGCAGUGGGAGCACAGAGCAAUCUGUGUGACUGCGUACCUUUUGUAUAAUGGGUCAGCGACUUAUAUUCUGUAGCAAGGUUAACCGAAUAGGGGAGCCGAAGGGAAACCGAGUCUUAACUGGGCGUUAAGUUGCAGGGUAUAGACCCGAAACCCGGUGAUCUAGCCAUGGGCAGGUUGAAGGUUGGGUAACACUAACUGGAGGACCGAACCGACUAAUGUUGAAAAAUUAGCGGAUGACUUGUGGCUGGGGGUGAAAGGCCAAUCAAACCGGGAGAUAGCUGGUUCUCCCCGAAAGCUAUUUAGGUAGCGCCUCGUGAAUUCAUCUCCGGGGGUAGAGCACUGUUUCGGCAAGGGGGUCAUCCCGACUUACCAACCCGAUGCAAACUGCGAAUACCGGAGAAUGUUAUCACGGGAGACACACGGCGGGUGCUAACGUCCGUCGUGAAGAGGGAAACAACCCAGACCGCCAGCUAAGGUCCCAAAGUCAUGGUUAAGUGGGAAACGAUGUGGGAAGGCCCAGACAGCCAGGAUGUUGGCUUAGAAGCAGCCAUCAUUUAAAGAAAGCGUAAUAGCUCACUGGUCGAGUCGGCCUGCGCGGAAGAUGUAACGGGGCUAAACCAUGCACCGAAGCUGCGGCAGCGACACUAUGUGUUGUUGGGUAGGGGAGCGUUCUGUAAGCCUGCGAAGGUGUGCUGUGAGGCAUGCUGGAGGUAUCAGAAGUGCGAAUGCUGACAUAAGUAACGAUAAAGCGGGUGAAAAGCCCGCUCGCCGGAAGACCAAGGGUUCCUGUCCAACGUUAAUCGGGGCAGGGUGAGUCGACCCCUAAGGCGAGGCCGAAAGGCGUAGUCGAUGGGAAACAGGUUAAUAUUCCUGUACUUGGUGUUACUGCGAAGGGGGGACGGAGAAGGCUAUGUUGGCCGGGCGACGGUUGUCCCGGUUUAAGCGUGUAGGCUGGUUUUCCAGGCAAAUCCGGAAAAUCAAGGCUGAGGCGUGAUGACGAGGCACUACGGUGCUGAAGCAACAAAUGCCCUGCUUCCAGGAAAAGCCUCUAAGCAUCAGGUAACAUCAAAUCGUACCCCAAACCGACACAGGUGGUCAGGUAGAGAAUACCAAGGCGCUUGAGAGAACUCGGGUGAAGGAACUAGGCAAAAUGGUGCCGUAACUUCGGGAGAAGGCACGCUGAUAUGUAGGUGAAGUCCCUCGCGGAUGGAGCUGAAAUCAGUCGAAGAUACCAGCUGGCUGCAACUGUUUAUUAAAAACACAGCACUGUGCAAACACGAAAGUGGACGUAUACGGUGUGACGCCUGCCCGGUGCCGGAAGGUUAAUUGAUGGGGUCAGCGCAAGCGAAGCUCUUGAUCGAAGCCCCGGUAAACGGCGGCCGUAACUAUAACGGUCCUAAGGUAGCGAAAUUCCUUGUCGGGUAAGUUCCGACCUGCACGAAUGGCGUAAUGAUGGCCAGGCUGUCUCCACCCGAGACUCAGUGAAAUUGAACUCGCUGUGAAGAUGCAGUGUACCCGCGGCAAGACGGAAAGACCCCGUGAACCUUUACUAUAGCUUGACACUGAACAUUGAGCCUUGAUGUGUAGGAUAGGUGGGAGGCUUUGAAGUGUGGACGCCAGUCUGCAUGGAGCCGACCUUGAAAUACCACCCUUUAAUGUUUGAUGUUCUAACGUUGACCCGUGAUCCGGGUUGCGGACAGUGUCUGGUGGGUAGUUUGACUGGGGCGGUCUCCUCCUAAAGAGUAACGGAGGAGCACGAAGGUUGGCUAAUCCUGGUCGGACAUCAGGAGGUUAGUGCAAUGGCAUAAGCCAGCUUGACUGCGAGCGUGACGGCGCGAGCAGGUGCGAAAGCAGGUCAUAGUGAUCCGGUGGUUCUGAAUGGAAGGGCCAUCGCUCAACGGAUAAAAGGUACUCCGGGGAUAACAGGCUGAUACCGCCCAAGAGUUCAUAUCGACGGCGGUGUUUGGCACCUCGAUGUCGGCUCAUCACAUCCUGGGGCUGAAGUAGGUCCCAAGGGUAUGGCUGUUCGCCAUUUAAAGUGGUACGCGAGCUGGGUUUAGAACGUCGUGAGACAGUUCGGUCCCUAUCUGCCGUGGGCGCUGGAGAACUGAGGGGGGCUGCUCCUAGUACGAGAGGACCGGAGUGGACGCAUCACUGGUGUUCGGGUUGUCAUGCCAAUGGCACUGCCCGGUAGCUAAAUGCGGAAGAGAUAAGUGCUGAAAGCAUCUAAGCACGAAACUUGCCCCGAGAUGAGUUCUCCCUGACUCCUUGAGAGUCCUGAAGGAACGUUGAAGACGACGACGUUGAUAGGCCGGGUGUGUAAGCGCAGCGAUGCGUUGAGCUAACCGGUACUAAUGAACCGUGAGGCUUAACCUUACAACGCCGAAGGUGUUU